GGAGAGGUGCCGGAGUGGUCGAACGGGGCGGUCUCGAAAAUCGUUGUACCUUAGGGUACCCAGGGUUCGAAUCCCUGUCUCUCCGCCA
rnacentral:tRNA from 2 species